rnacentral:rRNA from 1 species
GGGGCCCAGCCUGCCCAGUGACUCUGUUCAACGGCCGCGGUAUCCUAACCGUGCGAAGGUAGCGUAAUCACUUGUUCUUUAAAUGAGGACUAGUAUGAAUGGCAUCACGAGGAUUACACUGUCUCCUUUUCUAAAUCAGUGAAACUAAUCUCCCCGUGAAGAAGCGGGGAUAUUUAUAUAAGACGAGAAGACCCUAUGGAGCUUUAAACUAAGUAAUAUUUACUCUUUAAUUUCUAAAUUCCCAGGAAAUUGCAAUUAUUUUAGUAUUAUGUCUACAAGUUUUAGGUUGGGGUGACCGCGGAGAAAACAUAUCCUCCACAUUGAAAAGAAAAUUUCUUUAGCUAAAAACUACAUUUUUAAGCAUCAAUAAAUUGACAUUUUUGACCCAAUAUUUUGAUCAACGACCCAAGUUACCCUAGGGAUAACAGCGCAAUCCACUUCAAGANCCCCUAUCGACAAGUGGGUUUACGACCUCGAUGUUGGAUCAGGGUAUCCCAG